GACAGCAGCGUGUGACCGCCAGCCCCACCGCCACGGGAGAGCACGGACCCACACUGCACUAGCAGCACCUCACAGACAAGACGCCUGUUCAAACAUGGUUUAAGGUUAUAGACAAGCUACAAGCCAACAAGGACAAAGUGAUGGUUAUGCACGCUGCUUUCAUGCAUUAUGUGCACAAUACAUGGCACAUUAAGUCUCGAAGAUCUUAUCCAUCUACGGGUAUUCUUGUGCUUAUAUACGCUUUGCACAUUUGUGAUGAGGUAAAUGCGUUUGGCUUUGGUGCAAACAGUAAAGGCACCUGGCACCCCUAUUUCGAACAAACACCCAAGUCUUUGAAGCGCACUGGUAAACACAGUGGCGGGAUUGCGCUUAAAACCAUUUUAGAACUUCACGAAAGGGGGCUGAUUGAUCUAUACACGGGGUGGUGAAAAGGAUAAUGACAUUAAGUAACACAAUUUUUUAUUGAUAUUCACUUGUAUUCAUGAUAAAUACAUCUAUUAUAUUAAUUAACUCUUCGUUCAAAAUGUGUUUUGGCUCUGAAAUCCUUUGUGUAUUUUUUUUUUAACUCAAUGAUAUUGAUUUUAUUGAUAUUGAUUUUAUGAUUUUGCAUCUAUCGGUUUGGUCUGUUUGUGUACGCAAGCAAGCAACAAACAUUUUUUAUGUAAUUUAAUCUCAUGUUAACUUUAAAUGUUUAUUGUAAAUAAACUGUAAUAAUAAAUAAA